AAUGGGAGCAACCCUGAUCCAGCCAUGCCGCGUGCGGGAAGAAGGCCUUCGGGUUGUAAACCGCUUUCGGACGGAAAGAAAUCGCACGGGCUAAUACCCUGUGUGGAUGACGGUACCGUAAGAAGAAGCACCGACUAACUACGUGCCAGCAGCCGCGGUAAUACGUAGGGUGCGCGCGUUAAUCGGAAUUACUGGGCGUAAAGCGUGCGCAGGCNGNUUCUAAAGCCAGAUGUGAAAUCCCCGGGCUUAACCUGGGAACUGCAUUUGGAACUGGGAGACUGGAGUGUGUCAGAGGGAGGUGGAAUUCCACGUGUAGCAGUGAAAUGCGUAGAGAUGUGGAGGAACACCGAUGGCGAAGGCAGCCUCCUGGCAUGACACUGACGCUCAUGCACGAAAGCGUGGGGAGCAAA
rnacentral:rRNA from 1 species